GGGUGUGGCUCCCCUGCUCUUUGAUGACUGGGCAUAGUCUUCAUUGGCAAUUGCUCCUUCCACUCUGCUAAAGCAUGGAAGGUGGAACUCCCUAAUUAGCUUAGGCCCUCUGCUCUUUAGUCAUAAAUAACCUCCACACUCAGCUACCAAAAAGGCAGGUAGAAGAUGGUCAAAACAAAAGUCUUUCCUGCCAUUAUUUCUGCAGGGAGAUUGCAGUAUUCUGUUUGAUAUUACUAUCUAACUUAGGGUUAGCCAUUCCCAAGAUCCUUUCUGGCUUAGCAUGCGAAUGAAUUUGAGCUAGAACAGAAGGUAAGGCAGCCCAGAACAGGAGAUAGAUAGAGGGAAUAGGAUGGAAUGUCAUCUUUCUUCAAACUCCCAAAAGUCAGGAAGAGUCCAGGUAGAAGACUUCCACAUGAUGAAAUGACUUCUCUCUGCCUUUUGUGAGCAGGAAGAGUCUUCUGAAAGCAAGAAAAGGACUGCUCCAGGACUUCUCCUUUGGACUUCUUUGGAGAACUGCUCCUUGGGACUUCUGGUUUGAAGAGAUUCCUGCCUUGGUGGCUCUGCAAGGAGACCCUCUCUGCUUGUUGGCAAACUGGUGGGAUACUUCCUUCAGCAUGAGUUCUAUGGAGAGAUUCUUGUCCUUUGAUCCUGCAUCAGCUUGCUGAUGAGAGACUCAGAUUUCCAGGUGGAGAUUGGAACUUUGUUGGGGAGCAAGCUGAAUCUCAUCGAAUCAGCACUUAGGGACAAGAGAAUACAAAAAGAGCCAUUGCAAAAUGCCAAAGAAGCACAAAGCUAAACUGCAUAGUGCCAAUCAAGCACAAGGUCAAAGAGACCAACCAAUUCAGAUGGAAUUGAUGAAAAUUUCAAGCCAAGACAAGAGGACUUGAACUUAUUUGGGGUUCAAGGUUGUGGUUGUUUAACAUAUGUUAAAGGCAGGUCUUCCUUGUCCCACAUUCUACCAAGUAUCUCAAAUUUGGUUCCUACCUGGCUCCUAUAAUCUAGUCCCUUUUCUGUCUUUCAUGGUGUGGCAAACUUUCUAUAGUCCUGGCUACUGAUUGGGUAAAUGCAUAAUUGCUUAAAUCACUUUAAUUGGGCCCUGAUUCAAGGACCUGUUAUAGAUUUAUUUUUCCUUUACUUAGAAUUUUUACACAUAAGUCUUUGAUAGUCUAUAUUUCAUCCAGAAAUUAUCUUUUUUAUUUGAAUUUUUUUGAUGUUUUUGAUUUCUCUUGCCAAUUGAUUCAUAUACUUCAUAACUCAGCCAUGCAUUCCUAAGUGAUCCCUGGGUUUUUCAACACCUUCUUCGGGGGGGGGGUGUAUUAUUAUAAUUAUUCUAAGUUGCAAAUUUUAAAUUCUUUUUGAGAGUAAUUUUAGGAUAAGAAAUAUGCUACCUCUCCAAAUCCAGAAAGUGAACUAUUUGGAGAAGGCACCAUUAAGAUGCCUGCACAGACCACACACUGCACCAGAAGAUCCAGAGUGAAUUUUGGGAUAUAGUGA
rnacentral:lncRNA from 1 species